rnacentral:lncRNA from 1 species
GGGGGUGGGGACUACUUUUUUACUUAGGGCAGAAAGGAAAGAAGUAUUAACAGUUGUUGCUAAAAAAAAUAACCUGAAAUUCAUAGACUAGAAGAGAAGAGGUGGAAGGUGAGCAGAAACUUACCCUCCCUCAUUUAUGCCCCUUUGGCAGGAUUGGCUAAUUGGAUGGCUCUCUCUUUUUUUCCAGGUUGCCCUUGGCAUUCAUUCUAACUGUACUUCACCUGGAUUAAAAUACACAAAGAUGAUUAGCACAGUAUAGAUUUCUCAGGUUUAAAAAUGCUCCAAGAGAAAGCAUGCUAGUUAAUAAAUACUGCUUAACAGUUCAAACCGGAUAUUUGCAUUUAUUCCAAUUCUUACCUAAACACACAAGUGCUUCAGAUGGAAACUAUUUUUUCACAUAAAUUGCCUUUCUCCUCUAACUUGCUGUCUGGAUUGGAGAUUAUUUAUGUGUAGGAGGGAGUGAGAGAGCCUACAGAGAAAAUACUGGCUCUGAUGCAAUGUCUGGCUUAAGGCAGAAGAAGAAAAGGUUUAACAAAGAUUGGUUGAGAAAUCUAUGCUUCAGGCAUUAUACUUAGCACAGAGAUUACAAAGAUGCUCCCAUGUUAGGAAAAUAAAGCUCUGAACCUAUCAGCACAAUCAGAGUGCUAAGCACAAUGAGGCCAUAUGCCGAGCGAAGGUCCCGGAGGGGAAUCUGAGGGGGGCAGGCAGGACAGACCUCCAGCUGCAGCCUGGGCAGUGUAGUGAGAACUGCUAACACAGUGUACCAGGUGCCCAGACAUCUUCUGUCACUCUCUGGGAGCUAAGGCAUAGGCUCUGACGUCUUGUGCAAGGGACAUGUUUUGCUAUAUCCUAGGUGAUUUAACCAGAACUGGGAGAAGAAGAAAAAAAAAGAGUUUUUGUAACUGAUCAUUCCAAUAUUCACUAUGUAGAUUACUAUAAAGUAGCGAAGCAGCAUAGUGAUUAAGUGCAUGGUGUCUAAAUUCAUGCUAUCUCAGUUUAAAUCCUGGUUGGCAGCUUUGUGACUGAGAGCAAGUCACACCAGCUCUGAGCCCUAUUCCUAGUCUGCAAAAUGGGGCAGAUAGUUGUCUCUGCUUCUUAAGGGUGCUGUAAAGAUUAAAUGAAAAUAAUACAAGCCCUUCAUGUCUUACACACGAGACUUUCUAGUUUAUAUCACAAGGUUUGAGCAAAAUUUUUAGAUAAAUCAGUUAUUUUUAUGUAUCCUUUUCCUACAAAGGAAUUGUGAGUUUAUAGUGCCAUCUUAAGGAUAAAGCAACCAUGUAAUCUUGUCAUUUUAUCAUUUUUGUUUAUUACUAGCAAUGCAAGAUUCAUUUUUACCAGCCUUUGCGCAUUGCCUUCCCCUUUGCUCUUCAUACUCUAGCCAUUGUUAAUGGUUCUUCUUUGCUUCUUACCCUGUAGUCAUCUCCCUAGGAAAAUUUAUCAUGCUGAAUUCUUGUUUUUAGGUCCAUCUCCUCAAGAAUGGUCACUUAUUCAAUUUUGUACCCACUCUGCCUAGCAUACUCAACAAAUAUUGCUCAAAUAAACACAUUCUCAAUAAAAACAUUUAGCACCAAUAUGUAUGUGGAUUCCAAAAAUCACAAAGGAUAUAAAGAUUCUCUUUGAUCCAUCAAAGUUUCAUGGUCUGGAAAUGCACACACUAAAAAUUUAACUGAAGGAGUUCCCCUUGUGGCAUAGUGGUUAACGAAUCUGACUAGGAACCACGAGGUUUUGGGUUUGAUCCCUGGCCUUGGUCAGUGGGUUAAGGAUCCGGCAUUGCCAUGAGCUGUGGUGUAGGUCACAGACGUGGCUAGGAUCCUGCAUUGCUGUGGCUGUGGCGUAGGCCAGUGUCUACAGCUCUGAUUAGACCCCUAGCAUGGGAACUUCCAUAUGCCAAGGGAGUGGCCCUAGAAAAGGCAAAAAGACAAAAAUAAAUAAAUAAAUACAUAAAUACAUUAAAAAAACCUUAACUGAAAAAUGUCACUGGCUAGAUGGGGUACCUGGUAAAAACAAAUAUAAAGCUUCUCAGAAAGGCUUUGCACUCAACCCAGGCUGCACAAGUUUCCCAUGUAUAAAACUGUAUGGAAGGACCAACAAUCCAAAAUCACAAAACAUUUAGUGAAACAAUCCACUAGAAGACACGAAUUGGUUGUCAACAAACAGCAGAAUUAGAUACACAAAACUUCAUUACCUCUUUCCAGCUGUGUCAUUACUCUAACAUCUGCUUUCAUUGUCACAUUCCCUGACUCUGACCUUCUUGCCUCCCUCUUACAAGGACCUUUGUGAUUAUACUGAACCCACCUGGAUGAUGAGAAUCACCCCUUAAUUUAAUCACAGCUGAAAAUUCCCUUUAGCAAUGGAAGAUCACAUAUUCACAAAUUCCAGGGAUUAGGAUGAAAGCUUUUUGGGGAGCCAUUACUCUGUCUACCAUAAUUUUCUUUUGCUAUUAGGUCAGAUCUAAGGCCAAUUUGGGUUCUUCUAUUUCCACUCCUCUAUCUGCUCUGCUUUCUUAUCUGGCAGGCUAGGACAUCCAAUAUAGUGCUCAAAAGAAGUGGUAAUAGUGUCAUCUUUGACUUGUUCCAGAACUUGAGACUAUUUCUAAAUAUUUCAGUGUUGAAUGAAUAUGAGUUUGGUGAAGGUUUCUGGUGUUGCCUUUUAUUGGUUAAACGAAGUUUUCUUGUACCAGUAGUUUCCUAGAAAUUUUAACCAUGAAUGUGUGUUGAAAAUAAGUGAAUGUUUUUUUCUGCUUUAGUCUUCCUCCUGUAAUCUUUUGAUGUGCAGAAUCACAUUAAUUAAUUUGAUUUUCUAAUAUUUAAUCACCCCUGAAUUCCUAUAAUAAACUCAAUUAGGUAAUGACAUUUACUUUUUUUAAACAUCACUACAUAUUUGCAAGUAUGCUUAUGAGUAAGACUGACAGAAAAUUGAAGUUUCCUGGUGCUCAGAGGUUUAAGGAUCCAACAGUUUAAGGUGGCUUGGGUUGCUGCUCUGGCUGUGGGUCCAGUCCCUGGUCUAGGAACUUCCCCCUGCUGCAGGC